rnacentral:rRNA from 1 species
CGGACGGGUGAGUAACGCGUGGGUAACCUGCCUUGUACUGGGGGACAACAGUUGGAAACGACUGCUAAUACCGCAUAAGCGCACAGCUUCGCAUGAAGCAGUGUGAAAAACUCCGGUGGUACAAGAUGGACCCGCGUCUGAUUAGCUGGUUGGUGAGGUAACGGCCCACCAAGGCGACGAUCAGUAGCCGGCCUGAGAGGGUGAACGGCCACAUUGGGACUGAGACACGGUCCAA